CAAAAGCUCAAAUUUGAAAUCUGGCGUCUUUGGCGUCCGAGUUGUAAUUUGAAGAAGGUAUCUUUGGGCCCGGCUCUUGUCUAUGUUCCUUGGAACAGGACGUCACAGAGGGUGAGAAUCCCGUGCGAUGAGAUGGCCCGGGUCUAUGUAAAGUUCCUUCGACGAGUCGAGUUGUUUGGGAAUGCAGCUCUAAGUGGGUGGUAAAUUCCAUCUAAAGCUAAAUAUUGGCGAGAGACCGAUAGCGAACAAGUACAGUGAUGGAAAGAUGAAAAGAACUUUGAAAAGAGAGUGAAAAAGUACGUGAAAUUGUUGAAAGGGAAGGGCUUGAGAUCAGACUUGGUAUUUUGCAAGUACUCUUUCGGGGGUGCCUCUGCGGUUACCGGGC
rnacentral:rRNA from 1 species